CCCUCUGAGGAAGACCGUGGUACACUGUACAAGGUGGCCAGCUUCUUCUCAGCCACUGGAAUGAUGGCUUUGGUGGGUAGUGAAACAUCUUCUGGCCAUCUCCAAGCAUCCCUCACGUUUGUGCCCCAUAGCCUGGAAAAUGGACUAAAACCAGAGAGACUGCCCAGAAAAUGAGGCUGUGUUCACCAAUGCAAUGUGUGUUUUGACAUUGGUUUUUGCAGCAACUCAUCCCCCACCUGGGGCCUUGACAAGAUAACCCAAUAUAUAAAGUUUUCAGAAAAUAACAAUAAAGACCAAAGAAGAUCCUUCUUGCUUCAUAGCUAUCUCUUCCCUUCCUUGUUGGGACCCAAAGAAUGGGAUUAUCUCUGCAUGUACUGAAGGAUGCACAAGAAGUCAGCUAGCUCAUGGCUCUUCAAGUUGUCUAAGCUGCCACUGAAGUAACUUUCAUCCAGACCUGGGGACCUCACAGAACACAUGGAGAAUGUGGUUGGAGUGAAGCCAGAGCAACUCAACAGGCCAUGCAUGGGGAAGGGAGCAGAUGGCCUUGUUGCAUCCAGUACCUCCAGUACUGAAGUCACUGGACUGGUCUCAUUCCCUGGUCAUUUUCCCAUGUGGAUUCAGUUCAGCCUCUAGUCUUCAGACCCUCCAGCUAGCGCAGGUAGGACAAAAAGUUUACUUCCUACAGAAAACCAUGACUCUGCCCUCAGAAAGGCUGGAAAGCCCAAGCCUGGGACAAUUCAGCAGCCACAGGUUGAGGUGCCUCAGCGAGGGACGCACACAGGAAUAAACACUGGAGAAUCACUGUUCCUAAAAUGAUCCUUCAUUUGUUGGCUGCUGGUCGCAACCACUGACCUCAGAGCAUUAAUAAUCCUGAAAGGCUCUGGAGGCUUUUUGGCAUGUGCAUUUUAAUGUAAUAAGCUUUGGCAUCUGAAAUGUUUUUUCCCUUCUUGGCUUCUCCUUUGGGCUUGGAAACAACAGGGUCAGCUCAGUCUUCGAGCAAAAGGAUGAAGACAACCCUCACUUUAAUGCACAGAAUUAUAUCAUCAGUGGCCAGAGGUCACAUCCUGCUGUCUUUAUAAAGAUAACUCCAGCCCCCUCUCUUUUUCCCCAGUCUUUUAUAAACCUGGCUCAACCCAUACCCCAUAGCAGCAGGACUACACAGAGCAACAUCUUGGAUUAGUUACGAGCUUUUCAGAUGCGCUCCAACUCAUAUUUCAUAUCAUUCCCCCCCCCCCAGCCAUAAGAUCUGAGUUUGUCACAUUUACUGGAGACUGAAGUACAAACAUGUUUUAUUCAUUAUCUGUCCUCUUCUUCGCAACAAGCACCUGCAAAACAUUUCAGCUCUAGACCGGAUCAACAAGGCUUCAUUAGGCAAGACACUUUCUCCCUGGCUUGGAUGAUGAAGCUACGCUUUAUCCUUGCACUUCUAGCCUGUAAAAUUGCCCAGAGAUCAUCACCUUAGAAGAAGGCAGACACCCAAGGCCUCGUGACUGAGGUGGAGAAAAAGAGGUUGAGGUAAUUACACAGCCCUGAUUGCUGUGAGCUGGGGGACAUGGAGCUAUUUCAGCCUUGUUGCACCACAGCUCUGCUUUAUCAGCAGCAGAAUGGAGGAUCCCAGCUUUUGCACAGUCUCAGACAGGGAGUUUGCAAGCCCUUGGGAGCAGCCUCUAUUUUUAUCUCUAUUUUAAUCAGUGGUCAAUAUUGGAGAAGUUAUUCACACUCUCUUUGCCCACUGCAGCCCCAUCCUUUCCUUUUUGCCAGCUCUUCCCUCUUGGUUGAUGAAUAUUUAUUAGAUGCAAAACAGAAAAACUUCACCAAGAGAGGCAAAGAAGCUCUUUUCCCUGCAAAAUCCAGCAGCUUGGGGUAAGCCUUGGAAAUAGGGGAGGAACAAG